UACGUAGGGUGCAAGCGUUAAUCGGAAUUACUGGGCGUAAAGCGUGCGCAGGCGGUUAUACAAGACAGAUGUGAAAUCCCCCGGGCUCAACCUGGGAAUUGCAUUUGUGACUGUAUGGCUAGAGUGUGUCAGAGGGGGGUAGAAUUCCACGUGUAGCAGUGAAAUGCGUAGAUAUGUGGAGGAAUACCGAUGGCGAAGGCAGCCCCCUGGGAUAACACUGACGCUCAUGCACGAAAGCGUGGGGAGCAAACAGG
rnacentral:rRNA from 1 species